AACGAGGCCGACCUGCGGCUGAGUUACCUGCGGAAGGAUCAUUACCGAGUUAGGGUAGUUAUUCACUGCCCGACCUCCCAACCCUGUGUCUACCACACCUUGUUGCUUCGGCGGACCGGUCGACCAACUGGUCGUGACCGCCGGGGGCUGGCUCUGUCCCCCCUGGAGAGCGUCCGCCGAUGGCCCAACCACAAACUCUUGUACCGAAACGUGUCGUCUGAAUAAUUGAGAAAUCAAAUA
rnacentral:misc_RNA from 1 species